ACACGUGGAUAACCUACCCUCAGAUCUGGGAUAACUCCGGGAAACUGGAGAUAAUACCGGAUAAUCCGUGAACGCUGGAAUGCCUCACGGUUGAAAGCUUUAGCGUCUGAGGAUGGGUCUGCGGCCGAUUAGGUAGUUGCUGGGGUAACGUCCCAACAAGCCAAUAAUCGGUACGGGUUGUGAGAGCAAGAGCCCGGAGAUGGAUUCUGAGACACGAAUCCAGGCCCUACGGGGCGCAGCAGGCGCGAAAACUUUACACUGCGCGAAAGCGCGAUAAGGGGACCUCGAGUGCGUGCGCAAUGCGUACGCUUUUCAGAUGCCUAAAAAGCAUCUGGAAUAAGGGCCGGGCAAGACCGGUGCCAGCCGCCGCGGUAACACCGGCGGCUCAAGUGGUGGCCGCUAUUAUUGGGCUUAAAGGGUCCGUAGCCGGACCAGUUAGUCCCUUGGGAAAUCUUACGGCUUAACCGUAAGGCUGCCAAUGGAUACUGCUGGUCUUGGGACCGGGAGAGGCAAGAGGUACCUCAGGGGUAGGAGUGAAAUCCUGUAAUCCUUGAGGGACCGCCAGUGGCGAAGGCGUCUUGCUAGAACGGGUCCGACGGUGAGGGACGAAAGCUAGGGGCACGAACCGGAUUAGAUACCCGGGUAGUCCUAGCCGUAAACGAUGCUCGCUAGGUGUCAGGCAUGGCGCGACCGUGUCUGGUGCCGCAGGGAAGCCGUGAAGCGAGCCACCUGGGAAGUACGGCCGCAAGGCUGAAACUUAAAGGAAUUGGCGGGGGAGCACAACAACGGGUGGAGCUUGC
rnacentral:rRNA from 1 species